UACGUAGGGCGCAAGCGUUGGUCCGGAAUUAUUGGGCGUAAAGAGCUCGUAGGCGGCUUGUCACGUCGGGUGUGAAAGCCCGGGGCUUAACCCCGGGUCUGCAUUCGAUACGGGCUGGCCUGGAGUGUGGUAGGGGAGAUCGGAAUUCCUGGUGUAGCGGUGAAAUGCGCAGAUAUCAGGAGGAACACCGGUGGCGAAGGCGGAUCUCUGGGCCAUUACUGACGCUGAGGAGCGAAAGCGUGGGGAGCGAACGG
rnacentral:rRNA from 1 species